CAGUACGAAAUGAAUUCUCAGAAAGACAGAGUUGCCCUGUACAUCAAAAUAUUCAUAGAGUGAAGCAGAGAUUAUCAUAUGAUUAAGAUGGCAUCAACGAUCUUGAGUAUCAUUGAAAACGAUUGCUUACCACUUACUACAUUAUUACACAUUAUCAAGGGAGACAAUUUAAGAGGGAAGACAACUGGGGAAGAAUAACUAAUGAACAUAAGAGCUGACACCACUGACAGGUUUGGAUUUACUGCGGGAGCUAUUAUCAAUCUUGGCAUCAAAUCAAUACCAAGGGAUUUUCAGCCAUCAGAAUUAUCUAUCCAAGCGUAUCGUCAACAAAAUUAACCUAAUAAAAGUUUACAUCAAUAAACCAGAAAUAUCCCAACACAAUCAUUUUGCAAUACAAUGCUACAAGCCCACCUGAGAUUCGCUACAACACCUGUAAAUAUUAUUCAUAUCUAAAGGUCAAAUCUACAUGUAUAUUUGUCUCGCUGACGGCCGCUAAAAUAUUGUGCGUUUAUAACGCGCCAGUAUCCAUGGCUGCCUGAGGUGUAUUCUGGUUAAAUGUAGGAAUGAUAAGACCAGAACUAAUGAUUUAUUCUUGAUUAUAUACAAUAAAUAAACAGCUUUAAGAUUAAUCCCGGUGAGAAAGACUUCAAGAAUGCUUUUAUAUUCUUAGUAUCUUUUAUUCAAAUCACAUAUAAAAUUUUUAAACAUAACAGCACAGGCUGAAUUACAAUAUGAAUACGUUACAAAUUUUGAUCACCAUAAUGGUAUUCCUAAUGAAGAGAACGUCUGAAUUUAUGAGCUGCUUCUUAAAGGCAAUGGGGAUGGGGAUGGGGGUACUGUUUCCCUUGAUAUCACCUAAACCUCAUUUACUGCAAUAUCAAUAACAUUAUUAUUAACUGACUACAAUUUCACAACUUAAAGUAAAAAUGUAUUUAGUGUUACGAAGAAUUAUUGCUAGUGAUCUGGUAAAAAAGUUGGAUUCACAGUACAAGUUACUGUUUUUUU